GACCAGCCCUGAUAGUAAUGAAAAUGCUUUGAAAAGAAAUUGUAUUUUUUCCUGACAAAACAAAGCGACCAGCGGAAGCUCUUGUUAUGGCUUUGGAAAAAAGCAAUUUAUUGAAAAAGUAUUGCAAUGAAUAGCAGGAAUAUGC
rnacentral:misc_RNA from 1 species